CCGGAAUGAGUAGCGAGAGAAAGGUGAGAAUCCUUUCGGCCGAAUAUCUAAGGUUUCCAGAGUAAAGCUGAUCUGCUCUGGGUAAGUCGGGGCCUAAGGCGAGGUCGAAAGACGUAGUCGAUGGACAACAGGUUUAGAUUCCUGUACUUCAUGAUAUCAGAACUGUGGGGACACAGAGACAAAGGACGAGCCGGGAAUGGAAAAACCGGUGCAAGCGAGGUAGCUUCAUGGGAGGGAAAACCCCCAUGUAUAAGGCGAAUGCGUGAAGCGUAGCGAACUUAAAAGUAGCGAAGCGUGUGGAGUCACUGUCAGGAAAAGCCGCUAUUGCGUAUCAUGAACCCGUACCGUAAACCGACACAGGUGGAUGAGGAGAGAAUCCUAAGGCCGACGGAAGAAGCAUUGUUAAGGAAUUCGGCAAAAUGACCCCGUAACUUCGGGAGAAGGGGUGCCUACGAAUGUAGGCCGCAGAGAAUUGGCCCAAGCAACUGUUUAGCAAAAACACAGGUUUAUGCGAAACCGAAAGGUGAAGUAUAUGAGCUGACGCCUGCCCGGUGCUGGAAGGUUAAGGGGAGAGCUUAGAGGCAACUCGAAGGUUCGAACUUAAGCCCCAGUAAACGGCGGCCGUAACUAUAACGGUCCUAAGGUAGCGAAAUUCCUUGUCGGGUAAGUUCCGACCCGCACGAAAGGCGUAAUGAUUUGGGCACUGUCUCGACAAUGCAUCCGGUGAAAUUGAAAUACCAGUGAAGAUGCUGGUUACCCGCGCCAGGACGGAAAGACCCCAUGGAGCUUUACUCCAGUUUGAUGCUGGGAUUCGGUACUGCAUGUACAGGAUAGGCGGGAGACUAGGAAGAUAUAACGCCAGUUGUAUCAGAGUCGCUGUUGGGAUACCGCCCUUGUAGUACUGGGUUUCUAACCUGCCACCGUGAACCGGUGGAGGGACAACGUCAGGCGGGGAGUUUGACUGGGGCGGUCGCCUCCGAAAGGGUAUCGGAGGCGCUCAAAGGUUCCCUCAGAAUGGUUGGAAACCAUUCGAAGAGUGCAAAGGCAGAAGGGAGCUUGACUGCGAGGUCGACGGACCGAGCAGGUACGAAAGUAGGACUUAGUGAUCCGGUGGUAGAAAGUGGGAUUGCCAUCGCUCAACGGAUAAAAGCUACCCUGGGGAUAACAGGCUAAUCACUCCCAAGAGUUCACAUCGACGGAGUGGUUUGGCACCUCGAUGUCGGCUCAUCGCAUCCUGGGGCUGUAGCAGGUCCCAAGGGUUGGGCUGUUCGCCCAUUAAAGCGGUACGCGAGCUGGGUUCAGAACGUCGUGAGACAGUUCGGUCCCUAUCCGGCGCGGGCGUAGGAUAUCUGAAAGGAGCUGGCCUUAGUACGAGAGGACCGGGCUGGACGGACCGCUGGUGUAUCUGUUGUCAUACCAAUGGCAUAGCAGGGUAGCCAAGUCUGGAAGGGAUAAACGCUGAAGGCAUCUAAGCGUGAAGCCCCCCUCAAGAUGAGAUAUCCCAUCCGAAAGGAGUAAACCCCCUUGAAGACGACGAGGUCGAUAGGGCAGGGGUGGAAGUGU
rnacentral:rRNA from 1 species